CAGCACUUAUGGAUCUGAAGCAGGCCAUGUGGAUCUUCAAAGGAUAUUGAAAUUGCAUUGUAAUAACCUGUAUCUCUGGAAUGAGCCAGGCGGGGGCUGCUGAUGGAACUGCAUUCUGGUAAAACGAUAAAAAUAGAGGCAACUUCACUCGAGAAUGCUCGGGUCUCUGAGAGGCAACUCCAGUCUUGGACGGACAGUCCCAGUGUGUCUGCUGCUUGGGGGGAAGCUCACGUAUCUCAGAAGUGCUUCCAUUGCCACAACCUUAAGGUCUGCAUCAGGACAGCGAGGGACUUUAAACUAAAACUAGUCCUUAUGGAGAAGUCUCUCUGCCCGCUCUCCGACCCGGGACCACAAACUCCUCCUGGUCACUGGUCGCCUACCUCGGCUUCUGGCAGACCUGCCUCACCGACCCUGCACUGGAGGGACCAGCCUCCCAAAAGAUGGGCAAAGAAGAGAGUUACCAUCUCUCCUCCAAAGGGAAAUCUGAAAAAGAUGCAUUCUCCAAGUCUCCACAUCAUCAGUACUGACUGUGACAUGGCUGAGUAUCUAUGAGUCAGUAGGAUCCUUGGGUAUUGCUAAAGCCAAAGACCCUAAGUGGGCAAGCUCACAAAAGGACUGCAGAGACAAGACUGCCCCUUCUACCAUGACACCGACUGCAGCAGCUAAACAUUCGGUACUGAGCACCUCUGCAGCGCUCAGCUUAUGGCUCCAUCUUCUGGCUCUCUAGCACAUAGCGCAGAGACAUUGGCACCAAAGCCUGCUUUACCUCCUUCAGCACAGUCAUCUUCGGCACUGAUUCUCCCAGCGCUGCAACAACUCCCACUACCGUAACAAUCCCGGUACUGUAGCAGUUACCGCUGAUGCCAUCCCGCAUCGCUUCCCGGACCACAGCGUCCUCUUCUGGGCACAGUCCUUCAGCUGUGCCCCGACUCUGGUAUCUCCCCCCUUCCGGGGGACCAGCAGUCCUUAGUCCUGCCACUUGCCUCAGUGGCCAACUGCAAUCCAAGGUCCAGCCCCUAGCCUCAGGGGAAAACUGCAGUCUGGAUACUGACCACUCUCCUCAUUAGCAAGUGGGAUACGAGGAGGGGGGGACCCAGGCCCACCUGCUACUCUGGGUCCCGACCUAGAGACCCUAUAGCCGGCAGCCAUCUACUGCCCUCCUCCAACCUGCUGUUUAUUUUCCCUGGGACACUUCCCCCGUAACCCUAGCCCCUCUCAGCCUUUGUAGCAAGGCCCCAGCCUGGCAGUGGUCAGACAGCAGUUCACCCUCACACUCUGCUGCCCCUGCCCAGCACUGCUCUAUCUAUGGUGCUUCUUCAGGCAGCCAGUCCUCCUCCCUUGCCUUCCAGGGAGAGACUCCCUUCUGCUCUGCUGAGCAGCCCUUUAUAUAUGGCCCUUGCUGGCCCUGAUUGGUUGCUCCAGCAAGCCUUCCCCCAUUGAUGGGCUCAAUAAGCCCUUUCCUGAUUUGUGGGUUCUGCGCAGCCUCUCUGGUGCUGCUUUUAACUCCUUCUCCCUGUGUGGGGCAGCCACCCCACCACAUACCCACAAGACAUAGGCCACUCCCGUCUCAACCUCUUAUGUCGCAACAAUCUGGAUAAAAACAUCAAAUUUGAGGGUUUGGUCGAGGGUCCGAGAGACUUCCCCCAAUUCCAGGUGCUGAAACCACUUUCUACCAACCAUCCCUUUACAGACUAUUUGACACCAUUCUAACCAGCAUGGAGAAUUAUUACUUCAGAUAAAUGGGUGCUGGAAAUUAUCAAGACUGUUUAUUCCAUCCAGUUCACCUUCAUUCCCCCCACGCACCCACCUGUCCCUCCUCCCAGGGACACUGGAACAAUGUGUAUAGUGGGGGUGCUGAGAGCCAUUGAACCAAACUGUAAACCUUGUAUAUGAUAGAAACCACUUCAAGCCAGGGGCCCAGCACCCCUAGUUCCAGCAUCUAUGCCCCCUCCCAGCCCUCUCACGAGCACCUUCUAAGACCGGAACUAGACCAUCUCCUGCAAUUGGGUGCAGUAGAACCAGUACCAAUACAACACAGAGGGAAGGGCUUUUAUUCCCAUUAUUUCUUAACCCAGAAAAAGAGCGGAGGUUGGAGGCCCGUUCUCGAUUUGAGAAACCUCAACAAAUUUGUCAAAACAUAAUGGUUCAGGAUGGUUACUUUAGCAACUAUAAUCCCAGUGCUGGAACUGGGGACUGGUUUUUGGCCCUUGACCUGCAAGACACAUACUUUCACGUUGCCAUAUAUCCAUCUCACAGGUGGUUCCUCCGAUUUAUUUUGGGGCAAGAUCACUAUCAAUACCAGGAACUGCUAUUUAGCCUGUCCAUAGCCCCCUGAUUUUUUCCCAAAGUUCUAGCAGUGGCAGCGGCCCCCCUGUGCAAAUAAGGGGUCAUGAUAUACCCAUAGUUAGACUAUCUACUCAAGGCCCCCACUCAAGAAGAGGCCAUCGAAGCCACACCAAAGACAAAGUCACUUUUUACAAAACUUGGACUCCAAAUAAACAUUCAAAAGUCAAUGAUGACACCAGUACAAGAACUAGAAUUCAUUUGGGUUUAUCUAAACUUAUUGGAGGUGACAGCCUCACUACUGCCACACAGAUAUGCUGCCCUAAUGAAUCUGAUCAACGCUACAGUGAACAGCCCACAGAUAUCUGCCAGGACUUACCUCCAAGUAUUAGGCCACAUGGCAACAACCACCUAUGUUGUAAAACAUGCCAGACUAUGCAUGUGCUGCCUACAAGGAUGGCUCAGGACAGUGUGCAUCCCAUACAAACACAGUCUGAGCAAGCCUCUCAACACACCACAAAAGGUCAAAGACUCACUACAGUGGUGGACCCACUUACACAACAUGUGAGCAGGAGGCCCCUCCGGAGUCAGCAUUGCACAUAAACAUACUGGAACUGCAAGCAGUUUACAAUGCAUGUUCACACUUUCUGCCCAUGAUUAGA